AGAAACUAACAAGGAUUCCCCUAGUAGCGGCGAGCGAACCGGGAGAAGCCCAGCUUGAAAAUCGCGCCGCAUCUUCGCGGCGCGAGUUGUAGUCUGGAGAAGCGUCCUCUGUUGCGGACUCGGCCCAAGUCCCCUGGAAAGGGGCGUCAGAGAGGGUGAGAACCCCGUCGGGCUGAGACCCUGCAGCUCCACGAGGCGCUGUCGACGAGUCGGGCUGUUUGGGAAUGCAGCCCUAAGCGGGAGGUAAAUUCCUUCCAAGGCUAAAUACUGGCGAGAGACCGAUAGCGAACAAGUACCGCGAGGGAAAGAUGAAAAGGACUUUGAAAAGAGAGUUAAAAAGUGCUUGAAAUUGCUGGGAGGGAAGCGAAUGGAGGCCUCGUGUGCGCCCCGGUCGGAUGCGGAACGGCGCAAGCUGGUCCGCCGCUCGACGCGGGGUGCUGGUCAGCGUGGGCUGGUUCGGCGGGACAAAAGUGGGGCUUCAGUGCCCGGCCGAUGCCGUCGAGUCGGCCGAGGAAUCGAAGCGCGCGUCCCCUCUCUCGGGGACGGGGCCCUCCGGGUCACCUGCGCGCUCGAGACGUUGGCGUAGUGGGCUUUUCAUCCGACCCGUCUUGAAACACGGACCAAGGAGUCUAACAUGCAUGCGAGCCGGUGGGCGGCAAACCCAGUCGAGGCGCAAACAACUUAACCGGUGUGAUCCUCCUCGCGGGGUGCAACAUCGACCGACCAUGAGCUUCUGCGAAAGGUUCGAGUAAGAGCAUGCCUGUUGGGACCCGAAAGAUGGUGAACUAUGCCUGAGCAGGGCGAAGUCAGAGGAAACUCUGGUGGAGGCUCGUAGCGAUACUGACGUGCAAAUCGUUCGUCAGACUCGGGUAUAGGGGCGAAAGACUAAUCGAACCAUCUAGUAGCUGGUUCCCUCCGAAGUUUCCCUCAGGAUAGCUGGAGCACGUUUCAGGAGUUUCAUCAGGUAAAGCGAAUGAUUAGAGGCAUCGGGGGUGAAACACCCUCGACCUAUUCUCAAACUUUAAAUAGGUGAGAUCCGUUCGGGGUUGCUUGAUUGAACCCCCGGCGGAGAAUCCUG
rnacentral:rRNA from 1 species